GUGUGACGGCGUGCCUUUUGCAUAAUGAGCCUACGAGUUACCUUUGCUAGCAUGGCUAAUCCGUUAAGCGGAGCACCCGAAGCGACAGCGAGUCUGAAUAGGGCGUUUAGUUAGCAGUGGUAGACGCGAAACCGAGUGAUCUACCCAUGGGCAGGUUGAAGCUGUAGUAACAUACAGUGGAGGACCGAACCAGUUGACGUUGAAAACUCUUUGGAUGACCUGUGGGUAGGGGUGAAAGGCCAAUCAAACUCGGAAAUAGCUCGUACUCCCCGAAAUGCAUUUAGGUGCAGCGUUGUAAUAGUUUUAUAGAGGUAGAGCUACUGAUUGGAUGCGGGGGCUUCACCGCCUACCAAUUCCUGACAAACUCCGAAUGCUAUAAAAUGUUUCUCAGCAGUGAGGGCAUGGGUGCUAAGGUCCAUGUCCGAGAGGGAAAGAACCCAGACCAUCAGCUAAGGUCCCCAAAUAUAUGUUAAGUUGAAAAAACGAGGUUUGUCUGCCCAGACAGCUAGGAUGUUGGCUUGGAAGCAGCCAUUCAUUUAAAGAGUGCGUAACAGCUCACUAGUCGAGCGGUCGAGCAUGGAUAAUAAUCGGGCAUAAGCAUAUCACCGAAGCUAUGGCAUCGAAAGAUGGGUAGGGGAGCAUUGUAGCGACGUUGAAGGUAAACUGUAAGGUUUGCUGGAGUUUCUACAAAAGAAAAUGUAGGCAUAAGUAACGAUAAUGCGGGCGAGAAACCCGCACACCGAAAGACUAAGGUUUCCUCAGCUAUGCUAAUCAGCUGAGGGUUAGUCGGGACCUAACGCGAACCCGAAGGGGGUAGUGGAUGGACAACCAGUUAAUAUUCUGGUACCUGCCGGCGCUAAACGUGACGGAGAUGAGAAGUUAUUGCGGACUGACGGAAUAGUUCGUUGAAGCAACUGUUAAGGUUGUGAUAGUACACCAAGGCUUCGGCUGCGGUGAUAAUAUAGCAAAUCCACUUCCAAGAAAAGCAAGCCAGGCAGCCCGUACCGCAAACCGACACAGGUAGUUGGGAUGAGAAUUCUAAGGUGCUCGAGAGAUUCAUGGCUAAGGAACUAGGCAAAAUCGGCCCGUAACUUCGGGAGAAGGGUCGCCCAUCUUCGGAUGGGCCGCAGUGAAAAGGUCCAGGCGACUGUUUAUCAAAAACACAGGGCUUUGCUAAAUUGAAAGAUGAUGUAUAAGGCCUGACACCUGCCCGGUGCUGGAAGGUUAAGUGGAGGGUUUAGCUUCGGCGAAGAUCUGAAAUGAAGCCCCAGUAAACGGCGGCCGUAACUAUAACGGUCCUAAGGUAGCGAAAUUCCUUGUCGGGUAAGUUCCGACCUGCACGAAUGGUGUAACGAUCUGGGCACUGUCUCAGCCAUGAGCUCGGUGAAAUUGUAGUAUCGGUGAAGAUGCCGAUUACCCGCUGUGGGACGAAAAGACCCCGUGCACCUUUACUAUAGCUUAGUAUUGGUUUUGGAUAAGUAAUGUGUAGGAUAGGUGGGAGACUUUGAAGUGGCGUCGCCAGGCGUUGUGGAGUCAUCCUUGAAAUACCACCCUUUGCUUAUCUAGAGUCUAACUCAGAGAUGAGGACAGUGCUUGGUGGGUAGUUUGACUGGGGUGGUCGCCUCCAAAAGAGUAACGGAGGCUUCUAAAGGUACCCUCAGCACGCUUGGUAACCGUGCGUAGAGUGUAAUGGCAUAAGGGUGCUUAACUGUGAGACCUACAAGUCGAGCAGAGACGAAAGUCGGUCAUAGUGAUCCGGUGGUUCUGUAUGGAA
rnacentral:rRNA from 1 species